UUAAGUUCAGCGGGUAUCCCUACCUGAUUCGAGGUCAAACUGUGUGAUUUCUUGAUGAUCGCGAGCCCGUCGGGGACCUUCCCAUGCGCGAUGUGCUGCGCGAGAAGCCGACGAUGUCGCUGCCAAUGAAUUUGGGGCGAGUCCUCGCGCGAAGCGGGGACAGACGCCCAACACCAAGCAGAGCUUGAGGGUGUAAAUGA
rnacentral:misc_RNA from 1 species